rnacentral:rRNA from 1 species
GAUGAACGCUGGCGGCGUGCCUAAUACAUGCCAGUCGAGCGAACGGACGAGAAGCUUGCUUCUCUGAUGUUAGCGGCGGACGGGUGAGUAACACGUGGAUAACCUACCUAUAAGACUGGGAUAACUUCGGGAAACCGGAGCUAAUACCGGAUAAUAUUUUGAACCGCAUGGUUCAAAAGUGAAAGACGGUCUUGCUGUCACUUAUAGAUGGAUCCGCGCUGCAUUAGCUAGUUGGUAAGGUAACGGCUUACCAAGGCAACGAUUCAUAGCCGACCUGAGAGGGUGAUCGGCCACACUGGAACUGAGACACGGUCCAGACUCCUACGGGAGGCAGCAGUAGGGAAUCUUCCGCAAUGGGCGAAAGCCUGACGGAGCAACGCCGCGUGAGUGAUGAAGGUCUUCGGAUCGUAAAACUCUGUUAUUAGGGAAGAACAUAUGUGUAAGUAACUGUGCACAUCUUGACGGUACCUAAUCAGAAAGCCACGGCUAACUACGUG